rnacentral:tRNA from 1 species
GCUUAUUUAGCUCAGAUGGUAAAGCAUCUGCCUACAAUGCAGGAGACCUGGGUUCGAUCCCUGGGUCAGGA